UACAUACUGAUAUGUGUGGUCCCAUGAGCAUUAUGACCAAAGUUGUCAGAAUCGCGACCCGGAUCUUAAAAUCGUAAGACUUUACGACCCUACAUGUAGGAAACGACCCAAAACGCAAGCAUAGUCGUUUUUUGUUGAGUCGCUAUGGAGUAGCUACAAGUCGUGGAAUCGUGUAAAGUCGCAUGUCGCAUGCUGAGUUGCUACUGUAAGAGACUAGCUCAAGGUCUAAUCGUUCCUUUGUACUGAAGAUGGACGGUGGAUAUCCAAUACGCUGAGCCGUAUAUAAGUUGUCUCUUUGCUUUCCUGGAUCAUUAUCCUUUUCGUGGCCGCCGACGUUGUGCCUCCGUUUCUUCGUCUCUCUAGCUUCUCAUCUAAAUCUACCCUAGGAAUUGCUGAGAUCCAAUCCGAGCUGGUAAACAUAUGGAUGAAGAAAGGGAUUGACGAGAAUAUCACAAAGGUGCUCCACUUCAUAGGGCAAUAUGUCGACUACAACUGCUAGCCAAGGUAAAAUGAAAAGGAAAAAUGCUCCUGGAAAUCGGCCUGACAUUGGAUGGGGUCAUAGAGAGGAAGUUGAUCCUAAAAAGAAGACUGUAAGAUCCAAGUAUUGCUCUGUUGUCAGAGGAGGAUGGAUUUACAGAUUGAAGCAUCAUUUGGCAGGCACUCAGUUUAAUUCGGAGCCUUGUUCAAAGUAUCCGAUGAUGUCCGAGCAAUGUUCUUGAAGUUGUUACAUUGUCAGGAAGAACAGAGUGAUGCAAAGAAGAGGAAGUUAGAAUAGAUAGCAACCGGUUCUCAUGAAGUAAAGCCUUCGAGCAAGUACAAUGUAAAAAAAGAAAUUGCUCGCACCAAGAGAAGAUGAAUGAUCUAGUCUUUGUCAUGUACAAUCUAAAGUUGUUUGAUAGGCAAGCUAGAAGAAUAAGACAAGCAAAGGUGACCUAUGAUUUAGAAGAUGUAUCUUCCGAUGAUGAAUGGAUAACUGAAAAGGAGGAUCAUGUUCUUCCUCCACAAAAGAAUUAGUUGUAUGCUCUAGAUAGAAUUGCCCAUAGGGAAGCACAGAAAGAACAAGUGGCUGAUCCUGAAAUGGAAGUUGAGAAUAUGGUCAAUAAUUUAACUGAAGCAUGUACACAGAGUCAUUUCACUCGGAUAUGUUACAUAUUGUUUUAUUCUUUGUUUUUAGAAAUCACCAUUAUUUUCAUUUCUUACCGGGUGGUGAUGAUCUUGGAUUGGACCAAUAUCUUGAUGGGUAUGGCUUUGAGGACAACAAUCAAGAAGUUGGCGAAGAUGGAAACAAUCAGGUACACUCUACAUCUGAGAGAGGUGCUACUAGUGCUGCACAAUCAAGAGAUAAUGAAGAUGAUGAUCUCAAUUUGGACGACUUGUACUAAUUGAGUGCUUGUUCUUCUUCAACAACUUAUUGAACUAUUUACUAUUGUUUGCUCAGGCUGAACCUGCAUAUUUGUGACUAUGCCCUUUAAUGAACAUAUAUGUCAGAGACCUAUGGUUUAUGCUGAA